AUAUUAAAGUUGUUGCAGUUAAAAAGCUCGUAGUUGAAUCUUGGGUCUGGCUGGCGGUCCGCCUCACCGCGUGCACUGGUCCGGCCGGGCCUUUCCUUCUGGAGAGCCCCAUGCCCUUCACUGGGUGUGCGGGGGAACCAGGACUUUUACUUUGAAAAAAUUAGAGUGUUCAAAGCAGGCCUUUGCUCGAAUACGUUAGCAUGGAAUAAUAGAAUAGGACGUGCGAUCCUAUUUUGUUGGUUUCUAGGACCGCCGUAAUGAUUAAUAGGGACAGUCGGGGGCAUCAGUAUUCAAUUGUCAGAGGUGAAAUUCUUGGAUUUAUUGAAGACUAACUACUGCGAAACGAUUUGCCAAGGAUGUUUUCAUUAAUCAGUGAACGAAAGUUAGGGGAUCGAAGACGAUCAGAUACCGUCGUAGUCUUAACCG
rnacentral:rRNA from 1 species